GGUAUAUGCUUGUCUCAAAGACUAAGCCAUGCAAGUGCCUGUAUGAGUGUUUAUACAACGAAACUGCGAAUGGCUCGGUAAAACAGCAAUAAUUUAUUCGGGGGUAACUGCUACUUGGAUAACCGUAGUAAAGCUAGAGCUAAUACGUGCUACAAAGGCGAGCUUCGCUCGUGGUGCUAAGUAUUAGGUACAAGCCAAUUUUUUUGGUGAUUCAUACUUAUUUUCUGAUCGCACUCUGUGCGACGCCCCGAAUAAAUUUCUGACCUAUCAACUAUGAUGGUAAGGUAGUGUCUUACCAUGGUUGUGACGGGUAACGGACCGUGGGUGCGGGAUUCCGGAGAGGGAGCCUGAGAAACGGCUACCACAUCCAAGGAAGGCAGCAGGCGCGCAACUUACCCAAUCCGAACUUCGGGAGGUAGUGACAAAAAAUAUCAAUAGGGGGACCAAUGGUCUUCCUAAUUGGAAUGAAAACAAUCUAAACACCUUAUUGAGGAACCAGCAGAGGGCAAGUCUGGUGCCAGCAGCCGCGGUAAUUCCAGCUCUGUAAGCGUAUACCAAAGUUGUUGCAGUUAAAACGCUCGUAGUCGAACUUUGGCGCUAGUUACUGAGACUCCUACUGGACGUUGACGUAUCUACGCCUUUGUGGAGGGGGGUGCGGUGUUGCUUAAUUGUACUGCUGCAUUUCCGCCACUUUUUACUGUGAAAAAAUUAGAGUGUUCAAAGCGAGCGUUUGCCAUGAAUACAUUAGCAUGGAAUAUAGAUAGGACCUGGUCCUGUUUUAUUGGUUUGUCAGUAUCAGGUAAUGAUUACAGGGACGGUCGGGGGCAUUUGUAUUCCAGCGCU
rnacentral:rRNA from 1 species